rnacentral:rRNA from 1 species
AUUGAACGCUGGCGGCAUGCUUUACACAUGCAAGUCGAACGGUAACAGGCCUUCGGGUGCUGACGAGUGGCGCACGGGUGAGUAAUGCAUCGGAACGUACCCAGAGGUGGGGGAUAACGCAGCGAAAGCUGUGCUAAUACCGCAUGUGAUCUGAGGAUGAAAGCGGGGGACCGAGCAGCAAUGUUUGGCCUCGCGCCUUUGGAGCGGCCGAUGUCGGAUUAGCUAGUUGGUGGGGUAAAGGCCUACCAAGGCGACGAUCCGUAGCUGGUCUGAGAGGACGACCAGCCACACUGGGACUGGGACACGGCCCAGACUCCUACGGGAGGCAGCAGUGGGGAAUUUUGGACAAUGGGCGCAAGCCUGAUCCAGCAAUGCCGCGUGCGGGAAGAAGGCCUUCGGGUUGUAAACCGCUUUUGGCAGGAACGAAACGGUGUCCGCUAAUACCGGGCGCUAAUGACGGUACCUGCAGAAUAAGCACCGGCUAACUACGUG